rnacentral:rRNA from 1 species
GAAAGGGGUGCUAAUACCGAAUACGAUCACGCUGCCGCAUGGCGGUGUGAUGAAAGAUGGCCUCUAUUUAUAAGCUAUCGCUGAAGGAUGGGCCUGCGUCUGAUUAGCUAGUUGGUGGGGUAACGGCCUACCAAGGCGAUGAUCAGUAGCCGGUCUGAGAGGAUGAACGGCCACAUUGGGACUGAGACACGGCCCAAACUCCUACGGGAGGCAGCAGUGGGGAAUAUUCCGCAAUGGACGAAAGUCUGACGGAGCAACGCCGCGUGAGUGAUGAAGGUUUACGGACUGUAAAGCUCUGUUGUAUAGGACGAAAGUGCCUGCUGCAAACAGUUGCAGGUAUUGACGGUACUGAACGAGGAAGCCACGGCUAACUACGUGCCAGCAGCCGCGGUAAUACGUAGGUGGCAAGCGUUGUCCGGAAUUAUUGGGCGUAAAGAGCAUGUAGGUGGGCUGUUAAGUCUGUUGUGAAAAUGCGGGGCUCAACCCCGUAUUGCGAUGGAAACUGACAGUCUUGAGUGCAGGAGAGGAAAGGGGAAUUCCCAGUGUAGCGGUGAAAUGCGUAGAUAUUGGGAGGAACACCAGUGGCGAAGGCGCCUUUCUGGACUGUGUCUGACACUGAGAUGCGAAAGCUAGGGGAGCGAACGGGAUUAGAUACCCCGGUAGUCCUAGCCGUAAACGAUGGGUACUAGGUGUAGGGGGUAUCGACCCCCCCUGUGCCGGAGUUAACGCAAUAAGUACCCCGCCUGGGGAGUACGGCCGCAAGGUUGAAACUCAAAGGAAUUGACGGGGGCCCGCACAAGCGGUGGAGUAUGUGGUUUAAUUCGACGCAACGCGAAGAACCUUACCAAGGCUUGACAUUGAGUGAAAUGUUAAGAGAUUAGCACCCCUCUUCGGAGGCACGAAAACAGGUGGUGCAUGGCUG